UUCUAUGUGGUCCAUUGGUUAGGAUUCCUGACUUUCAUCCAGGUGACCUCGUCUCGAUCCCCGGCAUGGAAA